GAUGAACGCUGGCGGCGUGCCUAAUACAUGCCAGUCGAGCGAACAGACGAGGAGCUUGCUCCUCUGACGUUAGCGGCGGACGGGUGAGUAACACGUGGAUAACCUACCUAUAAGACUGGGAUAACUUCGGGAAACCGGAGCUAAUACCGGAUAACAUGUUGAACCGCAUGGUUCAACAGUGAAAGACGUUCUUGCUGUCACUUAUAGAUGGAUCCGCGCCGCAUUAGCUAGUUGGUAAGGUAACGGCUUACCAAGGCAACGAUGCGUAGCCGACCUGAGAGGGUGAUCGGCCACACUGGAACUGAGACACGGUCCAGACUCCUACGGGAGGCAGCAGUAGGGAAUCUUCCGCAAUGGGCGAAAGCCUGACGGAGCAACGCCGCGUGAGUGAAGAAGGUCUUCGGAUCGUAAAACUCUGUUAUUAGGGAAGAACAAAUGUGUAAGUAACUAUGCACGUCUUGACGGUACCUAAUCAGAAAGCCACGGCUAACUACGUG
rnacentral:rRNA from 1 species